AGCUGCGCGAGCUGGAGGCGCGCGGCGGCGACUCGCUGGCGGUGUACGGCGCGCACAUGGUGGAGCUGUGCCAGCGCGUGCGCCGCGCCGCUGACGCAGGACACUUCAGCGCGCCGCCGCGCGGACCUGUCGGGCAUUAUCUGAAGUUGAAGGAAAAGAAAUGGGGAGGCGCGAUCGAACAUAUCAUCGGUGGUUCUAUAAAGAAUUUUUGCGUCAAUAACGUCGAAGAUUCUAGAAAAUUGUUCGACAUUAUGAAGCAGGUGUACGGCAGCAGC